rnacentral:rRNA from 1 species
UACAGAGGGUGCGAGCGUUAAUCGGAAUUACUGGGCGUAAAGCGUGCGUAGACGGUUAUUUAAGUCGGGUGUGAAAGCCCCGGGCUCCAAGCCUGGGAAUUGCAUUCGAGACUGAGUAGCUAGGGUACGGUAGGAGGGAAGUGGGAAUUUCCGGUGUAGCGGUGAAAUGGCGUAGAUAUCGGAAAGGAACAUCAGUGGCGAAAGCGGACUUCCGAUGGACCAG